UUUGAGCUCCCUGGAGCAAACUGGGAGUGCCUGGAGGGGGGAAAGGAGAGGAGCUGAGUCAAGCAGUUGGUGGUUAUCAAAGUUGUAUGUGACUAUUAAAGUCUGGAGUAGUGAUCACAAGUCAUCAGACCAUGCCAGCUCAUGGCACUACACGUCCGAGCCCAGCAAUUGCCCAGAAAGUUCCUGUGGCUGUCAGAGUGACGUGCCAGGACUCUCCUUUCUGCAUUUGGAGUUGUAUCCAGUCCCUACUCCCUUGGCAGCACAUGAAAUACCACCUCAGGGGACUGUCUGCCUUCAUCCACUCAUCCUCCUCCUGGGCCUGGAAGGAUGGGGAGCUUUCCUGUGUGACAGAAGGGCAGUUGUCACCUCCCAGAUCCACAGGCUCCUGACACAACGCACUGGGAUUGCUGUCAAGAUGUGCCUACCUGGGCCAAAGCUGCGCUGGAUUUACAGUAACAAAAUUUUUGCAUUUUUGUGCCGCCACCUGAGCUGUAAAACAAGCCCUCUUCUGCUGGUCAUGCUUCACAUCUCCAUCCAUUGCUGCAAACCAUCUUGUCCCAGCCUCCAGCCUCUCCUUUCCUGGGGAAUACAUCAGGACGGCGGCCCAAAGCAAGCAGGAAAGCAGGAGCAGCAGGUUGGAGCUCGGCUCCAUCCCCUCUGUGCCAUAACUCAGGCUGUUAAACGCCUGGCCAGAGCUUACCAUCUGCUUCCAGUCUUCUAGGAAUAACCACUGAGUAAUUCAAUCAAAAAGGAGAAGAUCCUUGUUUCACUGAAUCGUAAGCCACUCCUCAAGUAAUUAUAAUUUUAUACCCCUAUCAGGAGCAACAGGGGCUGUUCAUUUCAUGGGCUUUAGCAGCCAGAGCUGUGCUUCUGCCAAGGUUAUGGCUGGGAGGAGAACCCAAUUUCACAUUUUCUCAGCCAUCCAAGACUCAGCCAUGUUUUUAACUUUUUGGUUAGGCAAGUGAAUAAAGCCCUGCCGGACCAAGGCCUUUGUUCAGGAGUGCUGUUACUGUAGAACAUAGAAAAUGUGAGAAGAGCUGACCAAACCAUCAUGAAGAUGAUUCCCACUGGUGUGAACAUUCCAGGUCUGUCCUUCCAGAGUUUCUGCAGCACAGCAAUAUCUGCCUAACCAGGGAGCAAAAUCCUGCUUAUCCCUGCCAGCAGCUGGAGGACACGUGGGGCUGCGUCCCUCACAUGCUGCCUUAGAGAAGGCAGAUGAGAUUAGUCCAGGGGAAAAGCCUACCUGCUUGCUCCAUCCAAAGUGCCUGGGGUGCAACUCAAAAAACUCAGGAGUCUUAAAAAAAGAUCCAAAAAGGAGCCUUUUCUCCUUUCUGUUAUGCUCUUUGGGUAAUUUCUCCACUUAAACACUUCUAUUGUGCAGUUUGUGCCCUCCGUCUUACCCCCCUGUCCUUUCUGGGGUUAAUGCUCCACCUGCUCUUUCACUGCCCCAGAUGUUCAGCCUUUCAAACAGAUUUAUUCCCUUGACUUUGAAAAGGGCUCCACCAUAUUUCCAUCUGUGUUUACACUUGGUGCAGGGUAAAUUUCUCCUCUGAGCAGAUCUGUUCCUUACCACAGCAAAGGAAUCUGGCUCAGCACAGGCUCAGACAGGAAGGCAGAGCAAAACAUUUCCGAAGCAGAGCUCGCCUGGGAGCUGUGCUACGUGCCCACAGGAGGACAGAGACCUCUGCCAGACUCCCUGCAUUGUCAGGCUGUGCAAAAAGGAAGUGGAUCUGGCCCAGAGCCACUGCUCUUGUGGCUGUUCUCAGGGCUGGCUCCCCAGCUCACCCAGCACCACCUCCCAGUUACCCAGGACACUGAAACCAAAUCAGAGCAAGCAAAACGGGACCCAGUGUCCUACCAAAGGGUCUGUCCCACAGUCAGCCAGGACUGUAGGUGUUGGAAAGACCCAUUUGUCAGAUCUUCAUUGCUCCUUUCUCAGAGAAAUCCUCUCUCUUUGCACCCCUGCUCCUAAAGCCAGCCUGGCUUGUCCACAGACAACAGAGUUUUUAACUACCUGGGCAAUUGUGACACAAAAGACGGUGAGCAGCUGCCACCGAGAUUUAUCACUGUGUUCACCAAGGCUGGGCCAACCAGGCCCUGCAAUGACUUCCAAGGUGGAUCUACAGAUAGCAUGAGCUUCAUCUAAUCUCAGCAAAACAGGUUUUGAGGCAUUGGGGGCUCACUGCUUCACCCUAAAUUUGAUAUCAACCUUUAGGUUUUGGUGCAGCGUGUUGGUGUUGGCGGACAGGUAAUAGCUUCUCUAUACAAUGCCCUGCUCUGUGUCGUGACAGGUCCUUGUCCCCACUUUCAGAUGCCUUUUAAAUCACAGCCAGCAUCCAACCAGCCCAUCAAACAGCCCAUCUCCCCCCAAGGCCAGAGAUGUCUCCACGCUGCUAAAAUUGGUGUUAGCAACAGGCCCAAGACUUCAGCAUUGCCAGAGAUGGCUGGGCACUAGGGCUGAGCAAAGCCCCCUGAAGUGCAUCCCUGAGCAGGCUGAACUGCAAACUGCUCCUGACGGUCCUGAGCUCCCUGCCAGCCUCAGAGAGGACAGGGAGGAUUUUUUUCUCAGCGUUACACCCUGAGCUCAGUGCAGAUGGAUGAGUCAAUAAAGAUGAUGCGGUGUCUACACAAUUGCUUCAGGAUGCAUGAAAUCCAGCUAUGAGCUCCCUGCCCACAGCAAGGGAGGACAUUUAGGUGGCCCUGCCAGGAGGGUUGCAGGGAUCUGUCUCCAUCUUCCCAGCAACAGCCAACAAACAUGAGCUGAGCAAGGAGGGGGAAUGGGAGAAGUCAAACUGUGAAGAGAAGCCUCAGCUGAACAUGUAAUUACACAGCAAGGAGAUAAGAGGACGUGAUCCUGCUCAGCACUGUGGGCAUGCAGAAAGCAGGAUGGGCAGCCACUAAUGACAGCUGUUAAAUGAUAAAUGCUCUCAAGCUUUGCAGGAUCCGGUUUAUUACGCAACCUGAACUUGCAAGGGAAGGGGGACCCUCUCUUGCAGUGGUUCUCUGCUGCAGAAACCAACAAGCUCAAUUAAACUUCAUGAAAGAUGAGCCAUUAUCAAAGCCAUCCCUAACCAAAAAAUUCAAGAAGAAGCCUGCUUGGAAAGAUAUAGCUUGAGGAGCCUUCUGGUAACACCCAUGAGUUCCACCCUGGUGCCUUGCAAAUGUUAGAACCCAGGUAAAUGUCCUGCAUUGUAGAAGGAGCAAACUGCCUGUAAACUGAAGGGAUAAUAACAGGGAGAGGGAAUCAAGUGAAAUAUGGAUUUUCCCAUCUGAAACACGUGGCUCUGGCACAGUGCUGGGCUCCUUGGGGCUUGUAUUUCCUCAGGGGCAGCAGUGUCGGAGUCCCAGUGACACUUGUUAUUUGUAGUUUCCAUUUAUUACAAAGCACUGUUAUUAUUUACAGAAUAUACUUUUUUAUGGACUGUUACUGCAUCCAAGUGCAAUAACUGGUCUAAGCUCAAAUCCCUGGGAGAACUGCUGAAAGAGAAGCAAUUCAGACACAUAUUAAUAUGACAAGGAUUUCCCCAGGUUUAAGGGAAUAAAAAAUACAUUUUGUACAACUGAAAUAGUUCUUUCUUGCAGUAUAAAGCUGCUCUUUUCUGAUGAUAGCAAUGAAAGAAUAUUGCUUCUGUCACUGAUGCCACUGGAAAUGUAUUGCCCCUCUCCAAGAAACCCAUGAAAGGACAUGGCUGGUUUAUCCUCCAAAUGAGGUUACUGAGAAAUGCUCUGCUCCUGGCAUUAGCCCAGGCACGCUGCUGCUGCUGCUGGGACCUGGCCUGACGGGAGGGCAAAGGCACCAAGUCAACAGCUUCGUGCCAAAUGGCAAAACCCACCUGGAGAGGAUCACAGCACACUUUGAGAACUGAGCAUAAGAAAGAAAUCUGUCCAAAUGUCAGAUGGAAAUUAUUCUCUAUCUGUCACUGGGGUGGAGCAGGGCUCAGCUGCUCUAUGGCACAGCCAGGGUCUGGCCCCUUCUCCUUCAGCAGCUCUGCACCUUGUAUGAAACGAGCUGGAGCCCUGGGGAAGGCUGAUCUGCACUUAACCUGUGGCAGGGAGCCUGGCUGUGAGGAGAGCUGCCAGCCCCUCGCCUUUCACUGCUGUGUUUAAUGGCCUGGCUCUCCGAUGAAGAUCUUGGGUUUUGGAAAUAAAAUCAUAAAAUUGUUCUCAAACCAAGAUGAUCUGUCACUUGAAUGUAUGCACUGGAGUGAGCACAGAGAAAUUACUGUUUCAGCAGAAGUAAAAAUUUCCUGAAAGGCUGAAGUUGAUGUUUGUGGUUCCACUUUCAUGCCUGUCGAUCUGCGGAUCUGACAAGUUCAUUUUCCCCACCUGCAACAUCCUCCAA